rnacentral:rRNA from 1 species
CCUACGGGGGGCAGCAGUGGGGGAUAUUGCACAAUGGCGGAAACCCUGAUGCAGCGACGCCGCGUGUGGGAAGACGGUCCUCUGGAUUGUAAACCACUGUCCCCAGGGACGAAGAUGACGGUACCUGGGGAGGAAGCUCCGGCUAACUAGGUGACAGCAGCCGCGGUAAUACGUAGGGAGCGAGCGGUGUCCGGAAUUACGGGGUGAAAGGGGAGCGUAGGCGGGACUGCAAGUUGGGUGUCAAUUCUACCGGCUCAACCGGUAGCCGCACUCAAAACUGCAGUUCUUGAGUGAAGUAGAGGCAGGCGGAAUUCCUAGUGUAGCGGUGAAAUGCGUAGAUAUUAGGAGGAACACCAGUGGCGAAGGCGGCCUGCUGGGCUUUUACUGACGCUGAGGCUCGAAAGUGUGGGGAGCAAACAGGAUUAGAUACCCCUGUAGUC